GCACAACGCGCCGCUGCUCUCGCGCUUGUCGCCGCCACCAGCAUCUUAUCUUUCCCAUUGUUGCCACGUCUCCGUUGCUCUCCGGAAUAUCGUCCCAGCCUUAGCCGAGCUCCAUCGGUGAAACCUCCUCGACCCAGGCGCCGAUCAAGCCCGCGUCCGGCUCCACUGGUGGAAGACCUAGGUCUCCGGCGUCGUUCCAACCCACAGGGCUCCACCGGCGGAAGCCCCUGGACCUCGGCGAAGCUCUCCACCUAGCCCGUCCCCUCGUCAGGCGACGCUCUCCCCCCAGCCUGUUCCUCGCGUCACACGGAGAAGGUUGACAGUACUAGAGGGACUGACUAGCAGCAUCAUAUCGAGGAGCGAGUGGAUUGCUCUGAUGAACUUUUCCACGGCAAUGGUUGGGACUUGAGACGGUUUGUUGAUCGUCGUGGACUUUGGUCUCUGAGAUGAGAUGCGUUGCUUAGUUGCUGCCGCGCGCUGCAAUUUUCAGGAUAUAUGAAGACAAGAAUUGACCCAGCAAUUUUCACUUCCUUGUUCAAGUUCUUUUGAUUGUCUCUGUUACUUAUUCAUCUCCCUAGUACAUUCGAGCUGUGAUUCCAUGAAUUUGUUGCUUGGGUUAUAUG
rnacentral:lncRNA from 7 species